AGUCCGGGCGCUGCGCUGCGUUCGGCCCGAGCUGUUUGUAAAUUACAUUAGCUGCUCCUUUAUUGCACCCGAACCUCGGGCGACUGAAAAGCCACCGCCCCCACCCCAAACUGCGAGCCGCGCUCCUGGCGCACCCGCCUCCCGCCGGCCUAGCUGCAAUGACCGCACCGGCCCGAAGGUCUCGGUCUCUCCGACCCGGGAUGUGGAGCCCGAAAGAGUGGUGGGAACCCCAGCCCGGGAGGGACGCGGCCGCCGCUCGGGCCAGGUAGGACCAGGAGCCCGGGUGGGCCCCGCUGCCACCCAGAGUGGACUUUGCGGAGCUGAGAUCAAGAGCCCAGCGCCUCUACCUCUGACCCUCUUGCCCCUCACCCCACUGCCUGGGCGACGCGCCUGGGGAGAGGGAAUCUGAAGCCCUCCUGCGCUGGCCCGCAGGAGGUCAGAGCCGGCUGCGCAGCCUUGGGUGGGCGACGCGGGAAGGGGGUGGAGGACCCCAGGGGUUGGGGGAGGGGGCUAGUCGGAGAGCUCAGCCUUCUCCACGCGGAGAGGCGGAGGAGGGAAUUGUUGGCGGCUCUGGACGCCUCUCCCCGGCCUGAUUCCGAAGCGGCCGCCCUACCUCCUCCGGCAAUCUUGCUCACUUUCCUCCGGCAGCCGCUCCCCAGGCUGGCUGGGGCCACCAACGGCCUGAUGAUGGGCGUCUGAAGAGUAGCCAGGCCAGGUGCCGGGGCUAACGGGGCCGGCUCCGUGCCUCCCUGCUGCGCUCCGCCCGGGCCCCGGCCGGGGCCCCGCUGCCGGCCCCGCCUAGCCCAGCGCCCGGCUUGAGUGCAUGGCCAGGCCGACUCCAGCUGUUCCGGAUGCGGGGCGGGGGCCCGGCGGGAGCCAGGCCGCGGCUGGGGCUUUGCUCUCAGGAACUCGCAGGGAGGCCAGGCUUCCAGUUAGGCUGGGGCUAAAGACCUUAGGGCCCGGGAUCUGUGAAUAUCGGGAGAACAUGUUGUGUGCAUUGUUACUUGAAGGUGUUUGUGUUUUUGAAUGUGUGUUUGUGUGUGUUUCUCCAUGCGUAUAUUUGUGUAAAUGUGUGUGAACCUGUGGGUAUAUAGGUGUGUUUGAACUCAGCUAUUUCUUUCAUUUCCCUGAGGCAUUCCAGCAGGGCUGUGCCCUCAGGCCUUCCUGUCUUGCUACCCCAUUCUGUUUAUGUGGGGCCACUGGCCUCCUUACUAAUUUUCCAUUUCUGCCCUUGGAGAAAGGAG
rnacentral:lncRNA from 1 species